UACGUAGGGUGCAAGCGUUGUCCGGAAUUAUUGGGCGUAAAGAGCUCGUAGGCGGUCUGUCGCGUCGGCUGUGAAAACUCGGGGCUCAACUCCGAGCUUGCAGUCGAUACGGGCAGGCUAGAGUUCGGCAGGGGAGACUGGAAUUCCUGGUGUAGCGGUGAAAUGCGCAGAUAUUAGGAAGAACACCGGUGGCGAAGGCGGCUCUCUGGAACGGUACUGACGCUGAGACGCGAAAGCGUGGGGAGCGAACAGG
rnacentral:rRNA from 1 species